GACGAACGCUGGCGGCGUGCCUAAUACAUGCAAGUCGAACGCAUUUUCUUUCACCGUAGCUUGCUACACCGAAAGAAAAUGAGUGGCGAACGGGUGAGUAACACGUGGGUAACCUGCCCAUCAGCGGGGGAUAACACUUGGAAACAGGUGCUAAUACCGCAUAAUUCCAUUUACUGCAUGGUAGAUGGAUGAAAGGCGCUUUUGCGUCACUGAUGGAUGGACCCGCGGUGCAUUAGCUAGUUGGUGGGGUAACGGCCUACCAAGGCUGCGAUGCAUAGCCGACCUGAGAGGGUGAUCGGCCACACUGGGACUGAGACACGGCCCAGACUCCUACGGGAGGCAGCAGUAGGGAAUCUUCGGCAAUGGACGCAAGUCUGACCGAGCAACGCCGCGUGAGUGAAGAAGGUUUUCGGAUCGUAAGACUCUGUUGUUAGAAAAGAACAAGGAUGAGAGUGGAAAGUUCAUCCCUUGACGGUAUCUAACCAGAAAGCCACGGCUAACUACGUG
rnacentral:rRNA from 1 species